UACGUAGGGUGCAAGCUUUGUCCGGAAUUAUUGGGCGUAAAGAGCUCGUAGGCGGUUCGUCGCGUCGGCUGUGAAAACCCGGAGCUCAACUCCGGGCCUGCAGUCGAUACGGGCGGACUAGAGUUCGGCAGGGGAGACUGGAAUUCCUGGUGUAGCGGUGGAAUGCGCAGAUAUCAGGAGGAACACCGGUGGCGAAGGCGGGUCUCUGGGCAGUAACUGACGCUGAGGAGCGAAAGCGUGGGGAGCGAACAGG
rnacentral:rRNA from 1 species